rnacentral:rRNA from 1 species
GAUGAACGCUGGCGGCGUGCUUAACACAUGCAAGUCGAACGGUGAAGCCAAGCUUGCUUGGUGGAUCAGUGGCGAACGGGUGAGUAACACGUGAGCAACCUGCCCUGGACUCUGGGAUAAGCGCUGGAAACGGCGUCUAAUACUGGAUAUGAGCCUCUUCCGCAUGGUGGGGGUUGGAAAGAUUUUUUGGUCUGGGAUGGGCUCGCGGCCUAUCAGCUUGUUGGUGAGGUAAUGGCUCACCAAGGCGUCGACGGGUAGCCGGCCUGAGAGGGUGACCGGCCACACUGGGACUGAGACACGGCCCAGACUCCUACGGGAGGCAGCAGUGGGGAAUAUUGCACAAUGGGCGAAAGCCUGAUGCAGCAACGCCGCGUGAGGGAUGACGGCCUUCGGGCUGUAAACCUCUUUUAGCAGGGAAGAAGCGAAAGUGACGGUACCUGCAGAAAAAGCGCCGGCUAACUACGUG